rnacentral:rRNA from 1 species
ACGGGAGGCAGUAGUGGGGAAUAUUGGGCGAUGGGGGAAACCCUGACCCAGCAACGCCGCGUGGAGGAAGAAGGUCUUCGGAUCGUAAACUCCUGUCCUCAAAGACGAGAAGAAGUCGGUAUUUGAGGAGGAAGCCCCGGCUAACUACGUGCCAGCAGCCGCGGUAAUACGUAGGGGGCAAGCGUUGUCCGGAAUGAUUGGGCGUAAAGGGCGCGUAGGCGGCCCGGUAAGUCUGGAGUGAAAGUCCUGCCUUCAAGGUGGGAAUUGCUUUGGAUACUGUCGGGCUUGAGUGCAGGAGAGGUAAGUGGAAUUCCCAGUGUAGCGGUGAAAUGCGUAGAGAUUGGGAGGAACACCAGUGGCGAAGGCGACUUACUGGACUGUAACUGACGCUGAGGCGCGAAAGUGUGGGGAGCAAACAGGAUUAGAUACCCUGGUA